AAAUACCUCACGAGAAUCGU
rnacentral:snRNA from 1 species